CUGGGUGAAGACUGAGUAGCAAAGUUCUCUAACAUGGUGAAGAGGAAGAGCCACAAUAGCUUCAGCAAUUCCACAACAAAUUUAGCUUCAUUUUGGGCAUGUCAAUUCAGAAGAAGAAAAAAGCAGAGUGGUGCACAAGGGACGAAGCUGGAGGAAGGAGAGACGAAAUAGCCACUGUGCCAACUGGAGAGUCCUACAAUGGGCAGCAGCAGGAGGGGCAGAACCACGCACAAACCAUGAAGAAGAUAGGGAUAAAGAACUUGACCAAGAAAGCUUUCCAACAAUGGAUGACUUCAGCUCUGUGGAUGGAGAGCUGAGACCUGGGAUACUCAAGGAAAUGGGGGAUCAAAUCAUUCAAGUUGAUAGGUUCCUAAGUAUGUGCUAUAACUCCCAACAUGAGCAACAACAAGAAGAGGUCUGUUCAUGCCACAAAGGAACAUCCCCAUCACCCUUCAUGGAAGGAUGCUCUGAGGAUAUAAAUGAGGGGCACAUCCCUCCUAAGGAACAGGAAAAUCACCCAUGCUCUCCAACAUCAGUCUAAUGGAGCCAAGGGAGGAAGCUUGUUGCACUUUCCCACCAUCUAACUUCUUUUCUGGUCUGUCAGAGCAACCCAAUGAUGCCCUGAGGCAACCAGGAUCAAUCACCUCACCAAAACACAGCUCGCUGAUCCCAUUCCACAAAAUUUAGCUCUUUUCAUUCCAAUACUCAUUGGCACAUCUUUCAUAGAAUCAUAGAAUAUCAGGGUUGGAAGGGACCUCAGGAGGUCAUCUAGUCCAACCCCCUCCUCAAAGCAGGACCAAUCCCCAGACAGGUUUUUGCCUCCUCAAGGAUUGAAUUUACAACCCUGGGUUUAGCAGGCUAAUGCUCAAACCACUGAAUUAUCCCCCCAAUAUGCAACAGCUAUUCAAAUGGCACUUGCUGUUCCCAAAUCUGCCUCAAGACAACCUCAACAAUGCUGUAUUAGUUAGAUAACCAACUCAGGUUUCAUAAUUACAAUCCUGUUGAAUUUAUAAAAAUUAACUGCUUUUCUUAAAAAUCAAAUAAAUACGUGAUUGGAAAUGUGAUUUUGAUACAUAAUAGUGCUUGUUAAACAGUAUUCAGAGCAUUGCAAACCCAUCAAAUAUUGGCUCUUCUUUGAUUCUUGGUUCAUGAAUGCUUCAUGAACCAAUCUCAAUUUUUUUCAUAUCUGUUCACUUGAAAAUAUUUUGCAAAUAUUACAAACUAUUGAGUUUACAGAUUAUUUACAAAAUCUCUUUGGUCAUCAUUGGCAAUUCACUUCAGUUACCAGAGUUUGGGUCUGGACCGUCAUUGAAUGACCUACCUUUUACAAAUUGGAGCCAUGCCUCCAGAACUCAUUGUGGCUUUGAUUCUCUCAGGUAGAGGAUGGACUCUGGGGUGGAAGAUUUCUCUUGCUGUUGCCAAUAUUGAAUAGCAGUAUCUUCUGACCACCACCACUAUGUUCAAUGCCAUCAAAUUGGGCACCCACCUAUAGCCUAUUGGCACUUGUGCAUGCAUAAUGUUUUCCAGCUGUGUUCUAAUGGUGCCUCUGGCUCUCACAUGUUCAAUUGUGUGCUACGUAAGUCCAACUGUUGCUACUGAUAGGCAGGUGUCUGGCCUUGUUUUUCUGGUUUAAACUCAACUAUGUAUAUUAUUUAGUUCAGUGAUAUUGAGACUGAGGCAUUGGAGCCACAAGUGGCUCUUUAAUGAGUCUCCUGCAGCUCUUUGCUACACAUAUUAAAACACUGUGUGAUUUAAUUAUUAACCAGUCCAAGUUAUUAACCAAAUCAAGAUGUUUUUACUAUGUUAUUAACCAAUUGUAGAAUACCUGGUCAGUGAUUUUUCUGUGAGUAUAUAGUAAAUGAAACAAUGAAUUCACACUACUGUGGCUUUUUUGGGUAAUAUUCAUCACUAAUUUGGCUCCUGAGCCACUGUCUAUGGUG